GACAGAGGGUGCAAACGUUGUUCGGAAUUACUGGGCGUAAAGCGCGUGUAGGCGGCCCUGCAAGUCGGAUGUGAAAUCCCACGGCUCAACCGUGGAAGUGCAUUCGAAACUGCAGGGCUAGAGUCCUGGAGAGGAAGGUGGAAUGCUUGGUGUAGAGGUGAAAUUCGUAGAUAUCAAGCGGAACACCGGUGGCGAAGGCGGCCUUCUGGACAGUGACUGACGCUGAGACGCGAAAGCGUGGGGAGCAAACAGGAUUAGAUACCCUGGUAGUCCACGCCGUAAACGAUGAGUGCUAGGUGUCACGGGCUUUGACCCUCGUGGUGCCGAAGCUAACGCGUUAAGCACUCCGCCUGGGGAGUACGGUCGCAAGACUAAA
rnacentral:rRNA from 1 species